rnacentral:sRNA from 1 species
GUAGAGUUUUUAGGCUGAGGACAACUCAGAGUCCAGUAAAGAGGGCUGGCAUUCACAGUGAGCACAUGUGUCUGCCCAUGUUAGGGCUGUUUUCGUGGAAUGGGCACUUCCUGAAAUUUAUCACGAAUAUUGGCAAUAGAUCAUGGCUAACAACAUAGUGGUUUUGGACAAAUAUGGACUCAAAAGUAUGUUGUACUUCAAUCCCCCAAAAAAUUAGAUAACUUGAACCUGAAAAUUUCUGGACCUAGAUAGGUGGCCC